CUUGCCCGUCUGCUUAGGCGUUGAGGGGGUGGCAUGAGGCCUUUUGGCGGGGCUGAGAGGACAGAGGGGCCGGCGACCUCGGGAUUGCCCCUGGCCAGAAGGGUUCCGGUGGCUAGCGAUGCGGCCUGGGGCUGCGGCGGGGUGCCCCUCCCUCCUUCCUCCCUCCCCGCUCUGGUGAAGUUGUGGUGGAGCCUGCUGGAGCGCUUGGUGUUACAAAUCCACAGUAGUUAUUGCCACCUUUUCGAGGGUUCUGCCUUUACGCUUCUCCUUCGUGCCUUUUAGGGAGUUUGUUGAGGUUUUUUAUUUUGUUUUGGGUUGGGGUUUUUUUGUGGCCACAAAGAACAGGAACUUCUUUUCCUUUUGUAGGUCUGGUUUCUUCCCUUGCUUUGUGAGAGGGCUGAGGUGCGUUGUCACUCCCCGCUGUGGAAGCGGGUGCGGGGUGUGAGGGCUGAGGCUCCGCAGCCGCUUUGAAGGGUAGUGAGGGAAUACCUAAACACUUUCUAGUAAGAAAUGCCCCUGUAUGUAUAUUUACUUUUUUACUUUGCUAUGAGCUUUUUCCGGGGGGGGGGGGGGGGGGGGGGGGGAUAUGGUAAAUAAAACCCAACUGAUUAAUCUGUUAUGCUUUAAUUUUAGGGCAGGCGUUCCCCUCAGAUUUGUAUAUUGCCUUUGAGUGCCGGAGAGGAAAGAGCAAGGCUUGCCUGCAUAGGCUAGGAGACAUUUGACUUCAAAGUCUUUUGAAGAUGUUCCAGGGAGUAAUUAUGCUUUGCAAAUGUUAAUCUUCUAAUUAAUUACCAUGCAAGAAAGGAAAAUACAACACUUUAAAAACGUUCAUCUGAGUGCAGAGCCAGCAGGAGUGAGCAGCUUGGCUCCCCGCAUCCCUGCGUAUGUGUGUUGCGUUAUUAAGAGAAUAGCCAGCUCUAUGGGAAAAGUGACAAAAAGAAAUUUCACCCCCAAGAACAGAUGAGAGAGUUGAAAUGGGCCCUGCUGAGUUCCUACUGAUGUUCCCCGGAGAAAUAUUGUGGGUUGAGAGACUGUCUGCCUGGAUUCAGUAUUCAUUCAGGACUUCUUGCCUCCGAAGCCUUGUCUCCCUGAGCAGCUGCUAGAUUCUUUGCUUACUUGGCAUCACCAUCAGCAUGCAAGAAAUUCUGAAGUAAGUAAAUGCAGCCCACUCACCGAUGGCCCACACUGAAGAGGCUCAAGAGAAACAGGCCAAAGCUACCUACUUCUUAAGGAUUUUCUCAGAGCCACGUUUCCUGAGCGUGUGCUGGCUGUCUUCUGGAAGACCACGGUCCCGGCAUGGCUCAGGCGCUGCUGCUGCUGCUGCUACAGGGAGCUGCAAAGUAACGGUGAGGGCUGAGCAAUGGGGAUGGGAGCUGCAUCUUUCUUCAUCAUGUAAACUCCCUGGGAGAGUCAGGUUCAGGAAUACUUGAUGCAGCUGCCAGAGGCAGGGAGCAAAGUUCCUUUAAAACCACCAUGAGACUCAGCCACUUCUGCUCCACGUACAAGGUACAACACUGAAAGUCGCCGUUUGUCAGCUGGUUGCUCCCUCUCAAGAAGAACCAGCUGUGGGGGUGCUGGUACCACCCGGUACAAUCCCUCCUCGCUCUCUGUGUCCUGGAGAAGACAAGCCUGAGGAAGGACUCUUGCAAGAGGCAAACGAAACAUCCAUCCCCGUUCUCUUCUAAGCUGAGAGGUUUACGUGGGCAGGAUGAUGUGCACUCAAGACUCAGGCUUUCCCUGAGAGCAUUCUGCUGACCCUCCCCUAAAACAUGGAGGAAACAGAGCACCAUGGAAACUGUGAAGCUUGCUCAGAUGUAGCAUCUCGACCUUACGGGAAGAGCGGUCCACCUCCAGUGACAGAGACCAUGCAGACUCUGCAUGGAUAGAGGAGAGGUUCACGUCCUGCACUUCAGGAGUUUAGCAGAUUAAAUCUUCAGGGCUGCAACAGUGAUGAGGAAGGGAAGGAACUGCUCGCCUGUGGCUGCCCCUUCUGCCUGGCGGUGUCGUGAGACUCAGCCCUGCUAACGGCUUCUGAGGGAGGAAUGCCCAAGGAAAAUCAAAGACCAGGAGACUGGUGGAAAGUAGUCGUCUUCCUCUGAUGGGGAGCUUGCCUGAGAUCUCAAAUACCAUGUCUUGUCCAGCACGUUGCUGGUAAUUCCUUCAGCAGCAAGCGCAGCUGGAACAUACCACUUACAGACCACUGGACA